UGGGGAAUCUUGCACAAUGGGCGAAAGCCUGAUGCAGCAACGCCGCGUGCGGGAAGACAGCCCUAGGGUUGUAAACCGCUUUCAGCAGGGAAGAAACUGACGGUACCUGCAGAAGAAGAUGCGGCCAACUACGUGCCAGCAGCCGCGGUGACACGUAGGCAUCAAGCGUUAUCCGGAUUUAUUGGGCGUAAAGAGCUCGUAGGCGGUUCGGUAAGUCGGGUGUGAAAACUCUGGGCUCAACCCAGAGAGGCCACUCGAUACUGCUGUGACUAGAGUGCGGUAGGGGAGCGGGGAAUUCCUGGUGUAGCGGUGAAAUGCGCAGAUAUCAGGAGGAACACCAGUGGCGAAGGCGCCGCUCUGGGCCGUAACUGACGCUGAGGAGCGAAAGCAUGGGUAGCAAACAGGAUUAGAUACCCUGGUAGUCCAUGCCGUAAACGUUGGGCACUAGGUGUGGGUCUCAACCGAACGAGAUCCGCGCCGUCGCUAACGCAUUAAGUGCCCGCCUGGGAGUACGGUCGCAAG
rnacentral:rRNA from 1 species